rnacentral:misc_RNA from 1 species
CAGAGUACCUGCCCAUUGGGUAGAUCUCCCACCCUUUGUUUACAAUACCUUUGUUGCUUUGGCAGGCCCGUCUUUUUGACCACUGGCUUCGGCUGGUCAGCGCCUGCCAGAGGACCCCAAACUCUUGAUUUUUGGCAUUGUCUGAACUACAUAAAUAGUUA